AGCUUCUUGAGUUAGUCUUCAGAUCUCUUAUUUUUAUUUUUUAGUAUAAUUGUCUCUAUAUGUUGCAUUUUUGGGAAUUCCUCAUCACUCUGUUCAAGUGAACUAGUGUCUUUCUUACUAAGUCAGGCUAGAGUAUUCUAUCCACUGAGUUAUGUAUUUUGUUGUCUAUGUUUUUCAUUCUUAACAUUUCUAAUUGCUGCUUUCACAUUUUCACUGUACCUAUUUUAUUUCUGCUUAGUUUUCAUUGACAAUUUAUUAAUAGAUUUUUUUCACCAUUUAUCUCUGAGGAUCUUACACAUAGGUAUUUUAAAGUCCUUUUUAGAAUUAAGUGCAGCAAUUUCAUGCUGAUUUUGUAGUUUGGCUUUUCUCGUGUGAUUUUUCUCUUGAGGUUGGGUCCAGGUCUUCCCAGCUCCUUAGGCCCGAGCUUCCUAUGAGCCAUAGUUGUAGGCAGUGUUUGGGAGUGUAGCUUUGUUUUAGUCAUCUUUCACAAGUCAGAAAGCUCUCCCUAAGUCCCUGGUUUUAAGAAGGGACCCUGGAUCCUGUAUUCUGCCCUCAGGGAGGGUGUAUUUAUUCUCUACUACACCCAGGAGGAAGCUCUGCUUUUCUUCCAGGCAUUGAACCAACAAAGCUGGUGCCCAAGUCAUCAUCUUGCAGUUUUUUCCGUUCUCAUAGCAAGGAAGGAUUUAUCUUAUUCUUUAGCUUGGCUUUGCCUUUUUAUUUAUUUAUUUUUAAGUACUUUAUGUUUCAUUGCUAUUUGUUCAGACAGGGAGGAAGUGGCCCUCAAGAAAUGAAUUUACAAGUUUAUAUUAACACUGAGGCCCCCUGUUGGUCAUUAGAUCAGAAACAGUGUUUUAUUUUGUUUUGCUUUUUUUUUCUUUUUUGGGGAAGGGGAAGACGUGAGGAAGAUUGGCCCUGAGCCAACAUCUGUUGCCAAUCUUCCUCUUUUUGCUUGAGGAAGAUUGCUGGUGAGCUAACAUCUGUGCCAAUCUUCCUCUACUUUAUGUGGGAUGCCACCACAGCAUGGCUCAAUGAGCAGUGCCAGGCCUGCACCAUGGAUCUGAACCCAUGAACCCCGGGCUUCGGAACCCAACCACUACACCACUGAGUUGGCCCCUUGUUUUACAUUUUUAAGUUAUGUCUAACACUCAAGUUGUUUUCAGUUAUGUGGAGCCCUUUGACAGGAAUCAAGAGAGAAGAACAGAGACUAUGAGGUUUCCCAUGUGGUCCUGAGUUUUAUUAUAGUGGUGAAUCUAGAUCCACACAGAUCGGGGAAUAAAUACUAUUUUUUCCAUAAUGGUAGAAACAAGUGGUUUAAUCUCUUUGAGCCCUGGUUUCCCCAUCUAUAACAUGGGAAAAUUGUUUCAACAUUUUUGUUUUUUUUAAGGAUUAAAUAGAGUGUAUAUGAAGUAUAUACCACAGUGACUGGCUCUGUAUCUUCACAGAGAGUAACAAAAAACCAACUCAGAUGCUUAAGCAAAAUGUAAAUUGACUGGCAUAUUUUACCGGAAGUUCAGAGAUAGGGUGGGUUUACAGACUAACCUAAUCCAGUGUCUCCAGUCGUGAUCCUUGUGAUUCCCCUGGAUGUACACUCUUCAUAUAUCUACUUCUUGUAUAAAUGUUACUAUAUCUCCUCGUCAGACUGAUAGUGACAAGGUGCCCACAACUAGUCUGGACCUGUCUGCAUAAACAACAUCCAGAAGAGACAAGUUAUGUCAGAGGAAGAGGACAUGCUGAUUGGCAAAAUCCACAAGCCCCAUUCUUUGAGCUUGGGGUAGGAUGAGGCUCCCCUGAAUUACAAAGGAUGUAAGUGGGAGGAGCACUUGUGUUAAGAGGGUGAAAGUGGUCUCUGGGUAGGAGUGCCAGGAUGUUUUUGGGUACCCAGCUCAAACUGGUGUAAACAAUAGAAACAUGUAUUACUUCAUAUGACAGGCAGUCCAAAGGUAUGGCUCAGCUCACAAGAGUCAAUUGUUGGAUACUCAAGAAUUUCGUAAGUCAGUUGUUAAACUGUUGGUAGCUUGAUAGUGUCAUGGUCAGAGCAAUUACUUUGCUUAGAGAAUGCUGACUUUGUAUUUUUAAAGUAGAAGGAAUCAGUUUCUUCAGUCAAGUGAACGUAAGGGGACUUUUGCAGGUAUUGCUUCCAGCCUUUAAAGUCCUACAUUUAAUUUCUAGCCACCAAGCUAAGCUUCUGUCUGGAGACAUUUACCAUCAAUAAAGUUAAGACCACUCUCCAUCUUCUUUUCUUCCAUAAGAAUGCUUUAAGGGAGCAAUUGACUUCCUGGCACCAAUAGUAGUCAUUUUUUAGUUGUUUUUUACUGAGAGGACAUAAAUCUUGCUGGUAACGUCAGCCCCCUUGGGAGAUGCCUCCAGUCAUCAACUGUCAGCUCCUAUGGGAGCCACAAACCCAGAAACAUGGAAGCUAGGUACCUGGGUGCUGCCAAACCAGGAGAGUACAGACUCCCUUCUUUCCAUCCUACUCUCCCUCACCUCCUCAACUCCCUCCUCCUCUUCCCCCUCUCCCACAGGACCAGUGUGAAGUCAUGGCUCUCGUGCCCUCCACUCUCUUCAACUCCAUCUCUCCUUCCUUUUUCUUCUCUUUUUCUCCACCUCAUGCUUCUGUUGUGUACUUUCCUUCUCUCUCUCUUUCGAAUUUUCUUAGGAAGGAGGCCUUGGUGAGAGGGAGUGUGAUUCUUCCUCCUCUCCACAUCCAGUGUGUCACCAGGUCCUGUUGAUUUGACUUCCUAAAUACUCUUGAAUCCAUCCAGUUUUGUCUGUGCAUUCAAGACCGUUACCCUGUUCCUGGCCACAUGCUCACCUUGGAUUAUUGCAGCAGCUUCUUAACUGGUCUUGUUUUCACUCUUGUGCCUCCAAUCCACACUCCAGACAGCAGCCAGCAUGAUCUUUCUCAAUGGAAAAUUUGAUUAUGUUGCUUCCCUGCUUAAAAUCCUCCCAUGGCUUCCUAUGCUCUUAGAGUAGAGUCUACACUGGGUUUAUAAGGCCCUCUGAGACCUGGGCAUAUGCACCUUUCUAGUUCCCUUUCUGAACACUUUUCCCUCUCCCACUCUAAAGCCCCAGCCAUGUCAAACCACUUUUUGUCCCUCAAAGCUGCUGGGCUAUCCUUCCUUGCCUCCGAGUUUUUCUCUUCUUGCUUCUUCCUCCCAUUUUGCCUUGCUACCACCAAUUUAUCCUUGAGGUCUCAGCUUUAAAUAUCACUUUUUAUGGAAUUCAUAUCCUGAUGCUGUCUAAACCAUACACCUCUGACGUGUUCACAUACAAUGCCAUUUUAUAGAUAGUUGUUUAACUGUCUCUCCCUUGCUAAAAUCAGGAAAUCAUGAUUAACACAGAGUAGGUAUUCUUUCAAUCAACAUUUCUUAAGCGAAUCCAUUAAUGAAGGAAUAAAUGUAUGCCCAAGUCAUUUGUGUGUCUUUGUGACCAGCAUUUGGUAGGAGUUAUAGUGAAUGCUAGAAAGGCUGAUCUUUUUCCUUAAAAAAUGAUCAUGUUGUUAAAUUAUCAGAGUAUCCAAAGCCCUUCAAGAUUCUUCCCCUCCCUCUGUGUCAUUCCAACCCUCUUUCUCACUGCUUCCUCAAUGCCCCCCACCUUCUUGUUUCUAACACCAUUACACUCAGUCGAAAUCUUGCCCUGACUGCUUGUACCCUGUGCUCCCCACCAAAAAGAACAUCUAGCCAAAUUCCACCCCUCCUCAAAGGCCCAGGGAAAGAACUCCUUCAAGAGGCCCUCACUAAGUCUCUGCAAGCCUCAAUUCUCUUCUGAAGUCAUCCGUGACUGCCUUUAGGAACACCCCUGGCAUUCCAGCAAGCACCUUAUACUACUUGAUUUGUCAUGUGUAUGUUGAUAUGUCAUGUAUAUCUUGUCCCCCUAUAUACGCUGUAAGGUCCUUCAGGGCAAGAAACAAACCAAAAAGAAGUGAUUAAGAGGACCAGCUCUGAAGACAGUGCAUUUGGAUCUCUGCCAUCCCUUGAUUUGAGAGCUUGCCACCUUGGGCAAGUCACUGAACCUCUCUGAGCCUCAGUUUCCUGACUUCUAGAAGAGAGAUGAUAAUAAUAAUAUCUUCCAUGUAGUUUUGCUCUGAGGAUUAAAUGAGAUACUCCCACUGGAGUACCUGGAAGGCGGCUGACACAUGCAUUAUUCGUAAUAUCCAAGAUGUGGAAGCAACCCAAGUGCCCAGCUACAGAUGAAUGGAUAAAGAAGAUGUGGUAUAUAUACACAAUGGAAUACUACUCGGCCAUAAGAAAUGAUGAAAUUGUGCCAUUUGUGACAACGUGGAUGGACCCUGAGAGUAUUAUGCUAAGUGAAAUAAGUCAGACAGAGAAAGCCAAAUACCAUAUGAUUUCACUCAUAUGUGGAAGAUAAACAAACACCUGGAUAAGAAGAACAGAUUAGUGGUUACCAGAGGAAAAGGGGGUGGAGGGAGGGUGGAAGGGGUAGAGGGGCGCAUGUGUAUGGUGAUGGAUAAAAACUAGACUAUUGGUGGUGAACACGAUGCAGUCUAUACAGAAACUGAAAUAUAAUAUUGUACACCUGAAAUUUACACAAUGUUAAAAGCCAAUAUGACCUCAAUAAAAAAAUGGAGUAAAAAAAUACAAGUAUGCAGUAGAACAUAGUGAAAUGGCCAUGAGGGGGCAGUCAAAGAUUGUGAAGAAUGAAAUGGUCAUGUGGAAAAGGAUAAGACUCCCCUCAUUUCAUGUUUUCCUUUUGCCCCGUUCUUAUGAUACUGUAACAAAUGUGAUGGGAAGGAAAGGCCAUCAAUGCAAGCAACAUGUUCUAGCCACCCAAGCAAAUGACACUGAAGUGAGAGUAGAAAGAAAGCAUUUCUUUUCCUAUGUGGCAUCCCCCUACCACCCACCACAAACUCCUCUGUCUGAAGUAUACAGCUCAGACUCUGCGUUGCAGGAACUUUAGAUUUGUCUCCUCCAUCUGGCACCCAACGCUCUCUCCUCAGUCAGCUCCCAACCUAGCUUAUCUCAUUUGAAAUUCUUCCCAACAAUUUCAACAAACUAAACAGUCCUGCCACCGGACUUAAUGAUUGCCGUUCCUUAGACUCCUUUUGACCUGGAAUUCUCUUCUCCCCAUCCACAAAGGUCAAAUACACCCCUCUUUUGAGGCUUUGUUAGAGGGCACAUCUUUCAUGAAGCCCUCCCUGAUGUCUCAGUCUAAAGACACCUUUCUUACUCUAGCAUCCUUGGAGCUUGGCUUCAUCUGUUUAUCAGGGCUAAUGUGCCUCCUUUAUUUUUCGGAGAUUUGAUUAGAGAUGAUGGUGUAAAGUACGUCACAAAGUGCCUGGCUCACUCGAACAUGACUCUGUUAUAAUCAUCACUCUCAUUGUAAUUAACCAUGUACAAAGCUUAUCACCCUGAAAGCAGGAGAGUACGGGUUAUGUGUGACUAAUCUUGUCAUGUAAGUAUUCAAGAAAAGUUUGCUGCACAAAUAACCAUGCAAAUUAGUGAGCCUGUAAGUUCCUAAUUCAUCCCUGAAACAACAUAGGGGGCACAUGACUCCUUGUGUUUUUGUGAUUAUGAUUCUGAAGUACAGCCCAGAAAAUAUAGUCACUGUUUUUUCCCCUAAUUAUGAAGCCAUUACACAGUCAUUUAGAAAAUUCAAGCAACACAGAAAAGUUUAGAAAAGAAAGCACAAAUUAACCCAAUCUCACUGAGCAGAAGUAACCACUCUCAGUAAUUUCCAGAUAUCUAUGUACACACACAAACACAGUUAAAAAUGACCUACCAUAUGUGCUUUAUAAUCUGCUUUUUACUCAACAGUGGGUCAUGGAUUUUUUUCCAUAUUAAUAAAUAUAGAUAAUUCCUUUUUAAUAUUUCUCCAAAAUGUUACAUCCUUUUUAGGUACUUAGUAUUUCACCAUUUUGAGGUACCAUGC
rnacentral:lncRNA from 1 species